CUAGGCCCUGCCAUGCCGGCAGCCCCGCCCCCACCUUUCAUUCAUUACUGGCUGCUGGGAGCUUUCAGGUUUCUCCACUGUGAGGAAGAUCUUAUGUUUUCAACAAAAGAAGAGGCUUAUGUAAAAGAAAACUGGGCCGGGCGCGGUGGUUCACAUCUGUAAUCCUAACACUUUGGGAGGCCAAGGCGGGCGGGUCAUGAGGCCAGAAGAUCGAGACUAUCCUGGCUAACAUGGUGAAACCCCGUCCCUACUAAAAAUACAAAAAAAUAGCCGGGUGUGGUGGCACGCGCAUGUAGUUCCAGCUACUCUGGAGCUGAGGCAGGAGAAUCGCCCGAACCUGGGAGGCGGAGGUUGCAGUGAGCCGAGAUCGCACCAUUGCACUCCAGCCUGGGCGACAGAGCAAGACUACGUCUCAAAAAAAGAAGAAAAGAAAAG
rnacentral:lncRNA from 10 species